rnacentral:rRNA from 1 species
UACGUAGGGCGCAAGCGUUGUCCGGAAUUAUUGGGCGUAAAGAGCUCGUAGGCGGUUUGUCGCGUCUGCUGUGAAAACUCGAGGCUCAACCUCGGGCUUGCAGUGGGUACGGGCAGACUAGAGUGCGGUAGGGGUGACUGGAAUUCCUGGUGUAGCGGUGGAAUGCGCAGAUAUCAGGAGGAACACCGAUGGCGAAGGCAGGUCACUGGGCCACUACUGACGCUGAGAAGCGAAAGCAUGGGGAGCGAACAGG